CCUUAACCAUUUAUAUAUAAUAGAAUAGAAAUUUUUGCAUAAUUAGUUUAGUUUUGGUCUUGGGAAAUUUCUCAUAAAAAGCAAAUCUUUUGCAUGGUGCAUUGACGCGUCAAACAUUUCUGAUGAACCAACUGAAACAAAUACACUCUCCGAAGUGGCACCCAAAGUCUUUGCAAAAACCCUUUUCCAAAAUGUGGAAAACAAUAUAAUAGCCCUAUUUCUUUCUUAUACAUACAUGGAGCACAAUAUAUAGUCCAUAUUUUUAACUAAACACCGUGAGAAUUCCAUACCUCAGGUGAGGGAGGCUCUAAAGAAGCUGGUUCCUCUUAAGCUAGAAUCAAACAACACACUCAAUGCUUAGACAGCUUUUCAAAGAACAAAUUCGUUUACCACAAUAUGACAAUUCAGUCUACUACUCGCAAAACUUACAAUCAUACAAACACGUCUCACAGACUUCUUUCAGUAAUUCUCCGCAUUGUUUUCAUUAUUUCCAUGAAAUAACAACUUAUAUCGACAAUUGCAUGCUUCUUUCUUGACAUUUUCUCUAGCACCGAAGCAACACACAUUUUUUUGUGGAGACAAGUUGGCCACAGUUGUUGCAAUUCCACACAAGAUUUCGCUCUCUUCAGCUAAAAUCAUCACCAAUUUGCAAGCUAGGGUUCUAAUAAAUUGGGACAAGGGAACAAGUUCGAUGGUUUUUGUCCAAAGAUGCUGAGAGAAUUCUCUUGUUUUUGAAAGAAAAAAAACACGUGAUGGAGGCUCGUGCGAUAUGUGGCUUCCGUUAGAGUUCUCACGGUGGUUUGGUUCAAAGACUGGAACUGCACCACUUUAUAAAACAAUAUGGAAUAUUAGUGCCUCAUGUAUAAGAAAUAGGACCAUUUUAAACCCAAGUCCAAAGAUACCCAACUGUUUUGGGACUUUUCUCCAUAAAUUUGCACUCACUCUGCUAUUAGGAGAAGCAUAAGGGCUAGUAACCUUAAAAAGGAAGCCAAAGAAUCCCAAUUUGAUAGCCACACAAGAUGAAAACAUUGCAUAGAUACAGAGGUGCAAGAAGCUAACUCCAUGAUUUGACUGAUUACUUUCCUUCCAUCGGUUUAACGUGGCUCACCAUUUUUCCCUUUACUGCUUUUGCAUCACUAGUAGGUUUUGGAGCUCUUUUAUAGGAGGCAACAGCUAGAUGAUAUAACUUCAUCGUCAUGAAUAAUCAGAAUGAUUGUGCCGACUGUGAUGAUGAUGGUAGUGACGACUCUUCUUCCUGCGAUCCUUAUCUUCAGGCUCGGGUGAACUUGACCGUGAAUGUCUCUGUCUGUUAGUCCUUUUCCGAUGCCUGUCAUUAUCAUUGUCCUCUGAACUUGACUUGGAAUGCUUUCCCCUAAUUGACUCAGAAUGCUUUUUCUUCCCGUGUUCCUUAUCUUUAGGCACAGGUGAACUUGACCGUGAACGUCUGUGUCUGUUACUCCUUUUCCGAUGCCUGUCAUUAGUAUCGUCCUCUGAACUUGACUCGGAAUGCUUUCCCCUACUUGACUCAGAAUGCUUUUUCUUCCUGUGUUCCUUAUCUUCAGGCACAGGUGAACUUGACCGGGAACAUCUGUGUCUGUUAUUCCUUUUCCGAUGCCUGUCAUUAUUAUCGUCCUCUGAACUUGACUUAGAAUGCUUUCCCCUACUUGACUCAUUAUGAUUCUUCUUCCUGUGUUCCUUAUCUUCACGCUCAGGUGAACUUGAAUGUGAACGUCUGUGUCUGUUACUCCUUUUGCGAUGCCUGUCAUUAUCAUCGUCCUCUGAACUUGACUCAGAAUGCUUUCUCUUAGUUGACAGUGAAUGUCUCUGUCGGUUA
rnacentral:lncRNA from 1 species